rnacentral:rRNA from 1 species
AGAGUUUGAUCCUGGCUCAGAUUGAACGCUGGCGGCAGGCCUAACACAUGCAAGUCGAGCGGCAGCGGGAAAGUAGCUUGCUACUUUUGCCGGCGAGCGGCGGACGGGUGAGUAAUGCCUGGGGAUCUGCCCAGUCGAGGGGGAUAACAGUUGGAAACGACUGCUAAUACCGCAUACGCCCUACGGGGGAAAGGAGGGGACCUUCGGGCCUUUCGCGAUUGGAUGAACCCAGGUGGGAUUAGCUAGUUGGUGGGGUAAUGGCUCACCAAGGCGACGAUCCCUAGCUGGUCUGAGAGGAUGAUCAGCCACACUGGAACUGGGACACGGUCCAGACUCCUACGGGAGGCAGCAGUGGGGAAUAUUGCACAAUGGGGGAAACCCUGAUGCAGCCAUGCCGCGUGUGUGAAGAAGGCCUUCGGGUUGUAAAGCACUUUCAGCGAGGAGGAAAGGUUGGCGCCUAAUACGUGUCAACUGUGACGUUACUCGCAGAAGAAGCACCGGCUAACUCCGUGCCAGCAGCCGCGGUAAUACGGAGGGUGCAAGCGUUAAUCGGAAUUACUGGGCGUAAAGCGCACGCAGGCGGUUGAAUAAGUUAGAUGUGAAAGCCCCGGGCUCAACCUGNGAAUUGCAUUUAAAACUGUCCAGCUAGAGUCUUGUAG